rnacentral:rRNA from 1 species
AUUGAACGCUGGCGGCAUGCCUUACACAUGCAAGUCGAACGGUAACAGGUCUACGGCUUCUGACGAGUGGCGGACGGGGGCGUAAUACAGCGGAACGUACCCGAUCGUGGGGGAUAGCGGGGCGAAAGCUUUGCUAAUACCGCAUACGAUCUAAGGAUGACAGCGGGGGAUCUUCGGACCUCGCGCGGCCGGAGCGGCCGAUGGCAGAUUAGGUAGUUGGUGGGAUAAAAGCUUACCAAGCCGACGAUCUGUAGCUGGUCUGAGAGGAUGAUCAGCCACACUGGGACUGAGACACGGCCCAGACUCCUACGGGAGGCAGCAGUGGGGAAUUUUGGACAAUGGGCGAAAGCCUGAUCCAGCCAUGCCGCGUGCAGGAUGAAGGCCUUCGGGUUGUAAAGUGCUUUUGUACGGAAAGAAAAGCCGCUUGCUAAUAAAGAGCGGUCAUGACGGUACCGUAAGAAUAAGCACCGGCUAACUACGUG